AUUGAACGCUGGCGGCAUGCCUAAUACAUGCAAGUCGAGCGGCAGCACGGGGGCCUUCACCCGGUGGCGAGUGGCGCACGCGGGUGUGUAACACCUGGACAAGCUCCGUAGUAGGGGGGGGCACCGCGAGAGCACGAUUGCUAAUGCAUACGAACAACUUAAGAAACCGGGUGACCUUCUGACCGCGGGCUUUGCGGUUGGCCGCUGGCUGAUUAGCUAGUUGGUGGGGUAAAGGCCUACCAAGGCGACGAUCAGUAGCUGGUCUGAGAGGACGACCAGCCACACUGGAACUGAGACACGGCCCAGACUCCUACGGGAGGCAGCAGUGGGGAAUUUUGGCCAAUGGGCGAAAGCCUGACGCAGCAAUGCCGCGUGUGUGAAGAAGGUCUUCGGGUUGUAAACCACUUUUGUCCGGAAAGAAAUCCUUGGCACUAAUACGGUCAGGGGAUGACGGUACCGAACGAGAAAGCAACGGCUAACUACGUG
rnacentral:rRNA from 1 species